GUCGGAUGACGAGUCCCAAAUUGGACGAAAUGCGCAUCCUGGAU
rfam:Trichobilharzia regenti genome assembly, scaffold: TRE_scaffold0005511